rnacentral:lncRNA from 1 species
GGAAGGAAAAGGUGGAAGUGGCAUUUUUAGUGCCUGCUGAUACCACAUGGUUGUUCCUGUCUCCUUGGAAUGUGAGCCGCCUUUCAACAGUAACAUCACAGCAUUUGCGAUGAAGGCCAAGGUCAUUUACCCUAUCAAUCAGAAGUUCCGGCCCCUGGCUGACGGGUCCUCCAACCCGUCCCUGCACGAGACCCUGAAGCCAACAGCCCUGCCACACCAGCCAGGGGGGCCCUCGCCGUCCAGCAGCCUGGGCAGCCUGAGCCCUGCCGAGAAAGAGGACUGCAGCUCCUCCUGCAGCUCCCGCUCCGCCGCCAGUGAGGACAGGCUGCUGUGCCGUGCCUUCCUGCGGGUCGGCAGCUUCCCUGAGGUGCUGGCCUGCGAGAGUGCAGACAUCGAGCUAUGUAUCUAUAACCUUCACCUCAAAGACAUGAAGCUCUUGGAUGCUGCGCUGAGGCAGGAGCAGCACAUGAUGUUUAUUCAGAUUUUUAAACUGUGCCUCCUGGACCUUCUUCCUAAGAAGUCAGAUGAUGAGUUGCACCAGAAGAUUCUUUCAAAACAAGAACAUGAUUUGGAGGAAUUAGAGAAGGGACUUCAGGUCAAACUGUCGAACAUGGAAAUGCUGGGCACCAGCGACUCUGGGUACAUCAGCCUGGCAGACGUGGAGAAGAAGGAGAGAGAAUCCUCAGAGCACCUCAUGGACCACAUGGAAGCUUUCUGGAAACAGAUGGAAAACAUCCAGCACUUUCUUGUGGACCAAUUUAAAUGUUCCAGCACCAAGGCACGGCAACUCACAAUGACUCUGACGGAAAGAAUGAUUGUGGCCGAAGAGCUCCUGCAGCAGUCUCAGGAUCUGCAGACUCUGGACACCCUGGAGAGGACACUGGGCCGGGUGCACAUGGCCAAGCUGGUUGAGUGCCUGCGGAUGCAGAUCCAGGAGGAGACCAAGUGCCACCUGGCUGCCAUGUCCCAUAGCCUGGAACUGCUGGCCGUGCAGGGGAUGCUGUCAGGGCAGCAGAAGGAGGAGCUGCUGGCCCAGCAGCACAAGGCCUUCUGGGAGGAGGCAGAGCACUUCAGCCGGGAGUUCAUCCAGCGCAGCAAAGCCCUGGUCCAGGCAUCUCUGGCUCGCCAGGCGGAGGAGGCGGCCAGGCUCACACUGGCCCAUGAGGAGGAGCGGAGGAGCUUCCUGGCCACUUCCCUGCCGGUCCCGGACCCGGAGGAUUUCCUCAAGCUCUGGAAAUCCUCUUUCUCGAGCGUCUUUUUGGGGUGUGAUCCAAAACACGGUGACUGCUGCUGCCAAGUGUCAUCUAAUAGAAAGGCAGCUCCUACAAACAGGCUGCUGUGUCCCCCACCUCAGUCACACUCCUGUCCCUGUGUGCUUCUGGCUCCUCCCCAAAGUCAAAAUGGACAUGAAAGGUGA